UACGGAGGGGGCUAGCGUUGUUCGGAAUUACUGGGCGUAAAGGGCGCGUAGGCGGCCUGUUAAGUCGAACGUGAAAUCCCCGGGCUCAACCCGGGAACUGCGUCCGAUACUGGCUGGCUUGAAUCCGGGAGAGGGAUGCGGAAUUCCAGGUGUAGCGGUGAAAUGCGCAGAUAUCAGGAGGAACACCGGUGGCGAAGGCGGAUCUCUGGGCCAUUACUGACGCUGAGGAGCGAAAGCGUGGGGAGCGAACAGG
rnacentral:rRNA from 1 species